rnacentral:rRNA from 1 species
GUACUGGCAUUGUUGGUUUCUCCCUUCUGACGAACCAUGAUGUCAUUUAUUUGGUGUUGUGGGGAAUCAGGACUGUUACUUUGAAAAAAUUAGAGUGUUUAAAGCAGGCUCACGCUUGAAUACAUUAGCAUGGAAUAAUGAAAUAGGACGUUUGAUUCUAUUUUGUUGGUUUCUAGGAUCGACGUAAUGAUUAAUAGGGAUAGUUGGGGGCAUUAGUAUUCAAUUGCCAGAGGUGAAAUUCUUGGAUUUAUUGAAGACUAACUACUGCGAAAGCAUUUGCCAAGGAUGUUUUCAUUAAUCAAGAACGAAAGUUAGGGGAUCGAAGACGAUCAGAUACCGUCGUAGUCUUAACCAUAAACUAUGCCGACUAGGGAUCGGAUGAUGUUAAUUCUUUAAUGACUCAUUCGGCGCCUUACG